ACGGGUGAGUAACGCGUGGGAAUCUACCCAUCCCUACGGAACAACUCCGGGAAGCUGGAGCUAAUACCGUAUACGCCCUUUGGGGGAAAGAUUUAUCGGGGAUGGAUGAGCCCGCGUUGGAUUAGCUAGUUGGUGGGGUAAAGGCCUACCAAGGCGACGAUCCAUAGCUGGUCUGAGAGGAUGAUCAGCCACAUUGGGACUGAGACACGGCCCAAACUCCUACGGGAGGCAGCAGUGGGGAAUAUUGGACAAUGGGCGCAAGCCUGAUCCAGCCAUGCCGCGUGAGUGAUGAAGGUCUUAGGAUUGUAAAGCUCUUUCACCGGAGAAGAUAAUGACGGUAUCCGGAGAAGAAGCCCCGGCUAACUUCGUGCCAGCAGCCGCGGUAAUACGAAGGGGGCUAGCGUUGUUCGGAAUUACUGGGCGUAAAGCGCACGUAGGCGGAUAUUUAAGUCAGGGGUGAAAUCCCAGAGCUCAACUCUGGAACUGCCUUUGAUACUGGGUAUCUUGAGUAUGGAAGAGGUAAGUGGAAUUGCGAGUGUAGAGGUGAAAUUCGUAGA
rnacentral:rRNA from 1 species